rnacentral:misc_RNA from 1 species
UUUUGAUCAUAGCAUGACCGGUUCUGCUGAUUCAUUUUCCCUAGGAGGAAUUAUCGUAGGACGCCGAUCGACGCCUGGAGGCUACAGAGGUAGAGGUCAAGAGACAACGUCGACAACACCGGAAGACUUGACAAGGUUAUCCAAGUGUCAGGAAGGAUGUUCUUCUUCAUGAUGGUGAAGAAUUCAAUUCAAACAAACGGAGUAUAAUUGCCACCGAACAAAUUCCAUUCUCUCAAAUGGCCUAAUUCCAUUUCAGAUAUCGUUCCAAUUUCAACAUCGACGGUAAUAGAAUGCCAUAGAGCCGGAC